rnacentral:pre_miRNA from 1 species
UUACUACUCCCUCCGUUCGGAAUUACUUGUCUCGAAAAUGGAUGUAUCUAGAACUAAAAUAUGUCUAGAUACAUCCAUUUCUUCGACAAGUAAUUCAGAAUGGAGGGAGUAUAAA